rnacentral:rRNA from 1 species
GGAUCCAGACUUUGAUCCUGGCUCAGGAUGAACGCUAGCUACAGGCUUAACACAUGCAAGUCGAGGGGAAACGACAUCGAAAGCUUGCUUUUGAUGGGCGUCGACCGGCGCACGGGUGAGUAACGCGUAUCCAACCUGCCCACCACUUGGGGAUAACCUUGCGAAAGUAAGACUAAUACCCAAUGAUAUCUCUAGAAGGCAUCUGAAGGAGAUUAAAGAUUUAUCGGUGAUGGAUGGGGAUGCGUCUGAUUAGCUUGUUGGCGGGGUGACGGCCCACCAAGGCGACGAUCAGUAGGGGUUCUGAGAGGAAGGUCCCCCACAUUGGAACUGAGACACGGUCCAAACUCCUACGGGAGGCAGCAGUGAGGAAUAUUGGUCAAUGGGCGAGAGCCUGAACCAGCCAAGUAGCGUGCAGGAUGACGGCCCUAUGGGUUGUAAACUGCUUUUAUAAGGGAAUAAAGUGAGCCUCGUGAGGCUUUUUGCAUGUACCUUAUGAAUAAGGACCGGCUAAUUCCGUGCCAGCAGCCGCGGUAAUACGGAAGGUCCGGGCGUUAUCCGGAUUUAUUGGGUUUAAAGGGAGCGUAGGCCGGAGAUUAAGCGUGUUGUGAAAUGUAGACGCUCAACGUCUGCACUGCAGCGCGAACUGGUUUCCUUGAGUACGCACAAAGUGGACGGAAUUCGUGGUGUAGCGGUGAAAUGCUUAGAUAUCACGAAGAACUCCGAUUGCGAAGGCAGCUCACUGGAGCGCAACUGACGCUGAAGCUCGAAAGUGCGGGUAUCGAACAGGAUUAGAUACCCUGGUAGUCCGCACGGUAAACGAUGGAUGCCCGCUGUUGGUCUGAAUAGGUCAGCGGCCAAGCGAAAGCAUUAAGCAUCCCACCUGGGGAGUACGCCGGCAACGGUGCAACUCAAAGGAAUUGACGG